CAACGUAGGGGGCGAGCGUUACCCGGAUUCACUGGGUUUAAUGGGCAUGUAGGCGGCUUUAUGGGUUAAGGGUGAAAUCCAACAGCUCAACUGUUUGGACUGCCCUUAAAACUAUUAAGCUAGAGUAUGGAGGAGGAAGGUAGAAUUCACGGUGUAGCGGUGGAAUGCGUAGAUAUCGUGAGGAAUAUCGGUGGCGAAGGCGACCUUCUAUUCCAAUACUGACGCUGAGGUGCGAAAGCUAGGGGAGCGAACAGGAUUAGAUACCCCAGUAGUCC
rnacentral:rRNA from 1 species